rnacentral:rRNA from 1 species
CGCGUAGGCGGUUCCGAAAGUGGCGUGUGAAAUCCCCCGGCUCAACCGGGGAAGUGCACGCCAAACUUCGGUUCUCGAGGACGGUAGGGGGGACUGGAACUCUCGGUGGAGCGGUGAAAUGCGUAGAUAUCGAGAGGAACACCGGCGGCGAAGGCGAGUCCCUGGUCCGUUUCUGACGCUGAGGCGCGAAAGCGUGGGUAGCAAACA